AUUGAACGCUGGCGGCAGGCCUAACACAUGCAAGUCGAGCGGGGUUUUCGGACCUAGCGGCGGACGGGUGAGUAAUGCGUAGGAAGCUGCCCGAUAGAGGGGGAUACCAGUUGGAAACGACUGUUAAUACCGCGUAAUGUCUACGGACCAAAGUGUGGGACCUUCGGGCCACAUGCUAUCGGAUGCGCCUACGUGGGAUU
rnacentral:rRNA from 1 species